UCUAGAUCUGAAGAAAUAGCUCUGCUGCCAUUAAUCUCUUCUACUACUGUUAAGAUAGAUGAUUCCACCCUAAUAACUAUUUCGAGGGUGAUGAUAAAAACCCUACGCUAUAUUAUUUUUUUUUUGCCACAUACAACUUAUCUUCCUCUUUACUCUCUUUUUCUUCUUCUACGAUUCAACUCCACAACCACAACCCACAAUCCUUAUGCUUGAGCACCACUACCAUCACUGAUUCAACCGCUACUAGGACUACCUCCUUCUUCUUCUUAGAUUUCGAUCUCUUGUUGAAUCUCUUUAGUAGAAGCCGUGGAUCCAAUAUUUCUAUUUGUUAUCUAGGGUUUCAUUUAUAGAUAUGAGUAAGAGAUCACCUUGAUUUAUCUACAUGAGGAUUCAAAUUGAAAAACACAUUUAAUUAGCAAACCAUUUCCCAAUUUAAAGUCGUUCUUAAUCAGGUGAUGUUUCGUUGUUGUGUUUAUUUUUUCUUAUAAAUUUUGUUUCAUUGCUGGGUUCAUUUCUAGGUCAGUCACUGGGUUUUGGGUUUUCUUUUUAGAGGAGAGAUCUGAUUUUGAUGUUAGGUUUUAAUUUAUUUGUUUUUGAUGUAUCAGUUGAUGGAAGACUUUCAGGUUCAGUGGCUUAAAUUUGUGAACAAUUUGAAGUCUUAUCCAUUGUUCUUAUUUUUCAAUUUUAAUUUCAGAUACAGGAAAUCCCAUAGGUAUUUCAAUUUGUGAACCUUCUCCCUUUGCGUGAGUAUUUAUUUCACUUAAGUUAGCUCCUUGUGAUUGUAGUUAUACCAUCAUUUGUUAUUUUCUUUAAGAUUUCAAUAAACUCAUAAAACACCAAAAGUAUUAUUAGCGAGUCAAUCUGUAUUGAUAAUUUUGGUGAUUGCAUUAAUACUGAGUGCAAUCUGUUGGACAUUCACAACUCAGCAAAUUAUAGAAUUUUUGAUGUUGAGAUUUAUGCGGAAGUAUAACUACUUAUCGUUGCUGAAAGCGUUGAGUUUAAGGACAGAGUUAAGAACAUUGGUGCCAGCCUUGUACAACAAGUAGCGAAUGCCACCAACAAUGUAGCUGGUGAUGGUAAGGCUUUAUCAUUCAUUACUUUGAAUGUUUCGUUUAAGAUUGUAAUGAAUAACUUUGAUGUUUCGAUCUAUUUGAGCUAAUUCCAAGCAGAUGGUGGUGGUGACUUGUGGUAGUAUGGGGAUGAUACUGGAGAUGGUGGUGGUGAAUUGUAUUAAGGUGGUGAUACUGGAAAUGGUGGUGGUGACUUGUAAUAGUUCUGGCUUGGUAUUGGUGGCGACUUGUAGUAAGAAGUAGGUUCUAGAGAUGGAGGAAGUGGUGAUUUGUAGAUGUGGCAGGUAUAGGAGGUGGUGGUGGUGACUUGUAGUACAAUGAAGUUGGUACUGCAGAAAUUAUGAGUUUUGGUAUCUUGUGACCAAGACACGUACGCAUGCUGUGUUGACAUGUAAACUGAAUAUGUUGAUCAUUUUAUCCCUUGCUAACUCCCUUCUGUAGGGGUAAAAAAGCUUUUUAUAGACAUGGGUUGUAUUCUUCUUUUAUUCGUACCCAUCUGUAGACUGUGUUAUAUGUGCAGGUCUAUUGUGACCUUCGUUACAUCAUUUGUGGCUUCACUUGGCCUUUUUCGUUUGACUAGCAAAGAUAAAAGGCAGGAACCUUGAACAUUCUUGAUUGGCCAAGGGAAUUAUUCGGCUUUCAGAAAGACAAUGCUAGGAAUCACAGGGGACAGAAGCCUUGCAAAUAGUCAUAUACGGCAGGUACCCAAGCUUAAUCCCCUUAACAAGCUUCUUGAUUGCAGUUAUCAGGAUUGCUGAACAAGGACCCAACAAUCAUGGAACGUCGAACUGCUUUAGAGUUAUACAGAAGUGCACAAGCAGAUAUUGAAUUAGAUAAGAAGCAAAUGGAUUCAGUUAAAGAAGACACCGAAAAGAUGGGAGGCGCAGAAAUUGUUCAAGGGACUUUGCUGGUGAAGCCCUAUGAUAAUUUGGUUUGGUUCAACCUGUGGAUAAGCACUCUGAUAAUACUAGUAGAUAGAAAGUUCUUCACUUGGCAUUAUUUAGUCUUCUAACUACUGAGUUUAGUUUCAAAAUCUUUUCUUUAUUCCGUACUUUCAACUGGAUGCACUAUGUACUUUCAUAUGUAAAUAUUUUGGAUUUAUCGAGUUUGAGUCAACUGAGGUUUUUACUUAUAGUUGGCGUGUUUCGCUUGUAUAUGUAAUUUCAAGUUUGUGUUGUUGUAACUGAAUGUAAUUAUUUCCAAAUGUAGGUGGCGAAGAUUGUCGCAGAUUGUAUGCGUAAUUAUCUGCUAUUUGAGCACUUGUUGCAAGUUCAUAUUGUUCCGACAGAGAAAGUUCAUCCUAAACUGUAAACAAUUCUUUUGAUUUAUACAAGUAUUGUAUGUAACAGAUUUAGUUGCACCAACACAAUGUAAUAAACAAAAACAUAUAUAAGAGCAUAUUUAAAUAAAUUCUUCUAUCUCUGAA